AACGAACGCUGGCGGCAGGCCUAACACAUGCAAGUCGAGCGGGGGAGCAAUCCCUAGCGGCGGACGGGUUAGUAACGCGUGGGAACAUACCCUUUGGUACGGAAUAGCCUCGGGAAACUGAGAGUAAUACCGUAUGUGCCCUUCGGGGGAAAGAUUUAUCGCCAAAGGAUUGGCCCGCGUUGGAUUAGGUAGUUGGUGGGGUAAUGGCCUACCAAGCCGACGAUCCAUAGCUGGUUUGAGAGGAUGAUCAGCAACACUGGGACUGAGACACGGCCCAGACUCCUACGGGAGGCAGCAGUGGGGAAUCUUAGACAAUGGGCGAAAGCCUGAUCUAGCCAUGCCGCGUGGACGAUGAAGGCCUUAGGGUUGUAAAGUCCUUUCAGAUGGGAAGAUAAUGACGGUACCAUCAGAAGAAGCCCGGCUAACUCCGUG
rnacentral:rRNA from 1 species